UACGUAGGGUGCAAGCGUUAAUCGGAAUUACUGGGCGUAAAGCGUGCGCAGGCGGUUUUGUAAGUUUUGUCGUGAAAUCCCCCGGGCUCAACCUGGGAAUUGCGAUGAAGACUGCAAGGCUAGAAUCUGGCAGAGGGGGGGGUAGAAUUCCACGUGUAGCAGUGAAAUGCGUAGAGAUGUGGAGGAACACCGAUGGCGAAGGCAGCCUCCUGGGCCAACACUGACGCUCAUGCACGAAAGCGUGGGGAGCAAACAGG
rnacentral:rRNA from 1 species